UACGUAGGGCGCGAGCGUUUGUCCGGAAUUAUUGGGCGUAAAGAGCUCGUAGGCGGCUUGUCACGUCGGGUGUGAAAGACCGGGGCUUAACUCCGGUUCUGCAUUCGAUACGGGCUAGCUAGAGUGUGGUAGGGGAGAGUCGGAAUCUGGUGUAGCGGUGAAAUGCGCAGAUAUCAGGAGGAACACCGGUGGCGAAGGCGGAUCUCUGGGCCAUUACUGACGCUGAGGAGCGAAAGCGUGGGGAGCAACAGG
rnacentral:rRNA from 1 species